rnacentral:misc_RNA from 1 species
UGACAGAGUUGACUUAUGACUAUGGGACUACCCGCACAGAUGAGGCUGAUGGUAAUAAUGCACUUCAUGGGAAAAAGAAAUGUUUAUGUGGAUCACCAAGAUGCCGGGGUCAUUUUGGUUGAAGAUUAUCUGUGAUCCAGCAUUGUGGCCGCAAGCACGGUCGGAUGAAAAGCAAUUCCUGGCGAGUGCAAAAUCUAUAUGCAUAUUUGGAGCUGUCAUUCACCAAUGCAAUGUUUGUUACUCAGUUAAAUGGGCACAUUUUGUUUUUGUUUUUCCUCGCCGUGCUCAGCCAUGUAGGACAGCUCUACUUCUAAGGGCAGAUUUAGUUUUGGAUCCUCUGCCUUGUAAUUUUGUGCAGGACCACAAGGUAGUGAAGUGUAUUAGUGCUCGCAUUAGUACUGCUCUGUAAAUUUUGCUUCUAUCCUAGGUAUUUUGUAUUUUACUGCAAAGUCAGUGUCCUUUGCAGGCCGUGGAAUGUUUGUAUGAUCCAAUCUCCAUCCCUGCUAAUGGAUUUCUCUCUCUUGCUUUCUUUU